rnacentral:lncRNA from 1 species
AGGAUUUUGAGCGUAGAUACAAUGAAGAAGCCUCUUCCGCCGAAUCAAGUUGGCGAGAUUUGCGUUCGAGGACCGAAUAUGAUGCGCGGUAGAGAACUCAGUCAUCUCCUCGUCAUUAAAUUCGGUUUCCUCGUCAUUAAUGUUCUGCAAAACUGUAACAGGAUAUCAUAAUGAUGCCGAAGCAACGAAACAAACAAUAGACAAGGAAGGAUGGGUGCAUACGGGUGAUCUCGGGUAUUUCGAUGCAAAAGGACAGUUAUUCGUGGUGGACAGAAUCAAAGAGUUGAUCAAAUGUUACGGCUUUCAGGUGAGUUAUGAUUUGUUUGUUGUAACGUGUACGUACCUUCUGAUUUGGUGUUGACGAAUGAGAGUGUAGGUGGCACCAGCAGAACUGGAAGGGCUUCUGCUUUCUCAUCCUGAUAUAUUAGACGCUGUUGUCAUCCCGUAAGCACCCAUCCUUUUCUUCAACUGCUAAGGCUGGUUUACUGGAG